rnacentral:misc_RNA from 1 species
AACAAGGCGUACCUGCGGACCUGCGGAGGGAUCAUUACAAGUGACCCCGGUCUAACCACCGGGAUGUUCAUAACCCUUUGUUGUCCGACUCUGUUGCCUCCGGGGCGACCCUGCCUUCGGGCGGGGGCUCCGGGUGGACACUUCAAACUCUUGCGUAACUUUGCAGUCUGAGUAAACUUAAUUAGUAAAUUAAAACUUUCAACAACGGAUCU